rnacentral:rRNA from 1 species
GUCGAACGCUGGCGGCGUGCUUAACACAUGCAAGUCGAACGGAAAGGCCCUGCUUGCAGGGUACUCGAGUGGCGAACGGGUGAGUAACACGUGGGUGAUCUGCCCUGCACGUCGGGAUAAGCCUGGGAAACGGGGUCUAAUACCGGUUAGGAGUCAGUGUUAGUGUGAUGGUUGGAAAGUUUUUUCGGUGUAGGAUGAGCUGGCGGCCUAUCAGCUUGUUGGUGGGGUAAUGGCCUACCAAGGCGGCGACGGGUAGCUGGCCUGAGAGGGUGGACGGCGACACUGGGACUGAGAGACGGCCCAGACUCCUACGGGAGGCAGAAGUGGGGAAUAUUGCACCAUGGGCGCAAGCCUGAUGCAGAGACGCCGCGUGGGGGAUGACAGCCUUAGGGUUGAAAACUCCCUUCGAUAGGGACGCAGCUUUUUGUGACGUUACCUAGAUAAGAAGCACCGGCUAACUACGUG